AUUCGUAACAAGGUCUCCGUAGGUGAACCUGCGGACGGAUCAUUACACAAAUAUGAAGGCGGGCUGGAACCUCUCGGGGUUACAGCCUUGCUGAAUUAUUCACCCUUGUCUUUUGCGUACUUCUUGUUUCCUUGGUGGGUUCGCCCACCACUAGGACAAACAUAAACCUUUUGUAAUUGCAAUCAGCGUCAGUAACAAAUUAAUAAUUACAACUUUCAACAACGGAUCUCUUGGUUCUGGCAUCGAUGAAGAACGCAGCGAAAUGCGAUAAGUAGUGUGAAUUGCAGAAUUCAGUGAAUCAUCGAAUCUUUGAACGCACAUUGCGCCCUUUGGUAUUCCAAAGGGCAUGCCUGUUCGAGCGUCAUUUGUACCCUCAAGCUUUGCUUGGUGUUGGGCGUCUUGUCUCUAGCUUUGCUGGAGACUCGCCUUAAAGUAAUUGGCAGCCGGCCUACUGGUUUCGGAGCGCAGCACAAGUCGCACUCUCUAUCAGCAAAGGUCUAGCAUCCAUUAAGCCUUUUUUUUCAACUUUUGACCUCGGAUCAGGUAGGGAUACCCGCUGAACUUAAGCAUAUCAAUAAAUUCG
rnacentral:rRNA from 1 species